rnacentral:tRNA from 1 species
UCGGGUGUGGCCAAGCGGUAAGGCAGCGGACUUUGGAUCCGCGAUCCCAGGUUCGAAUCCUGGCACCCGAG